rnacentral:lncRNA from 1 species
CCUCCCUCCCUCCGGGCAAGCCGCCUUGGACGUCUGCCUGCCUGACGCUAGUCAUGGAAAGGGAUCCAGGACCCUUUGGGAGUGGCAUUCUGGUUUUUGUCAGGUGGUCCAGGGAGUCACAUGCUUCGCUUGCAGCGGAGGGGGCAGAUGGGAACAGGAUGAGGCAGCCUCCACACCCAUGCUUGGCGCCUUCUCCCAAGUCCCGAGGACCCGACAGCGCCCGGAAGGCCCGGCAGGCCCGGCAGCCAGCUGACUGCGCCUUGGAUGCACACGGGUGUCUGUUACGUUCUUCAGGAAGGCUGCUUGGGAACAGGUGUCCUCGGUGCCCAGAGGUACUCGUGGUGAUUCCAGCCUGACCCUGGAGCCCCCGAGGGCCUGUUCUUCAGGCUGGAAGGUAAAAGAGAGGAUUUUUUCUUUUUAAAUCAUGGUAAGAUAUACAUAACACAAUUUUCACCAUUUAAACCAUAUUUUGUCAUGCUUUUGAUGCGGACUCUUAGCCGAUCUUUAAUUUAAAAUUGUCUGCAUCCGGGCACCUGAGUGGCUCAGUCGGUGAAGCGACCAGCUGUUGGUUUCGGCUCAGGUCAUGAGCUCGUGGUUCGUGGGUUUGAGCCCCACGUCGGGUUUCCCACUGACAGCUCGGAGUUGGCUUGGGAUCCUCUCGCUCUCCCUCUCUCCCUGCCCCUCCCUGCUCCCUCUCUCUCAAAAUCAAUAAAUAGAAAAGAGAAACCUCGGAAAAAAUUCA